UACGGAGGGAGCUAGCGUUGUUCGGAAUUACUGGGCGUAAAGCGCACGUAGGCGGCUUUGUAAGUUAGAGGUGAAAGCCCGGGGCUCAACUCCGGAACUGCCUUUAAGACUGCAUCGCUUGAAUCCAGGAGAGGUGAGUGGAAUUCCGAGUGUAGAGGUGAAAUUCGUAGAUAUUCGGAAGAACACCAGUGGCGAAGGCGGCGAUCUGGGAAGAUACUGACGCUGAGGUGCGAAAGCGUGGGGAGCGAACAGG
rnacentral:rRNA from 1 species